GUUAUUUUUCUCUUUUGUUGAAUCAUUCAGUCAUGCCAGGAGUCAUGUCUGUGUAACUGACACAUAUUUAUUUUCACAAACACAUCCAAACCGACUCACGAGUCAGACCCACGGUGUAUGCCGCCUAUAAAAGUUAACCAUUGCUUCAACUGCGGCUCAGCGGAGAAUUUAAGGAAAAACUGCAAGACAGAAACGAAAAGCAGCAGCGGUUCAUUGUGGUGCACGACAGCAAAGUUGAGUAUGACGUACUGUUAGGCUACGACUUUGUUUCGAAGUUUCGCGUUACAAUUGAUGAAAAUGGGCUCAAAUUUGCAUUGCCGCCAGUGGAUGAUAACUCCAUUGAGGUCAACGAGUUAAGAGUACACGAUGUGGUCGAAAUUACGGUAGAUAUUAGUUCACCAUCGCAGUUCAAACCGGUGAUCCAGUCGCUAAUCAACAACUAUCAGCCGGUUAAACCGAAUGUUGAGUGUAAUGCUUAAGAUUAUUCCCGACGGAAACAUCACACCGUUCCGUCAGAAACGGCAUUGUGCGCAGAUCGUCAUAAAAUUUUUGCAAGUAGGGUGGUAACUGUUAGAAAAAGAACGGUUCUUUUAGAGUUUGCGUUGACUUCCGUCAAUUAAAUAGUAUGGUAGCUUCCAAGUACCGCUUAUCGACGACGUUCUAGAGAACCUUCAAGAUAAUUUACUGCUUUCGUCACGAAAGAAGGACUAUAUGAGUUCAAUAGGGCUCCGUUCGGCUUUUGCAACUCCCCCGCGGUGUUCAUACGUUUUGUCAAUUGCGUGUUCCAAGAAAUGAUCACUCAAGACGUAAUGCAGCUUUAGAUGGAUGAUAUCAUCAUCUAUGCUCAAACACAUGAAGAGUGCACAGAAAAGCUGAAGCUGGUUUUAGAGGUGGCCGCCAGAUUUAGCCUUAAGAUUAAUUGGAAGAAAUGCCACUUUCUAAAGACAAGGAUCGAUUUUUAGGGCCAUAGGUAGAAAAUGGCAAAAUUUGGCCUGAUAGCAAAAAAACAAACGCCUUCAGACAUUUUUCCACGCCGAAAAACAUUAAAGCUGUGUAGUCGUUCCUAGGCUUAACGGGAUUUUUUUCGAAAGUUCAUUAGAGGCUAUGCACAGUUGGUUCCGAAUUAGAUUCGAUAAGACAAUCAAUAUCAAUGCCGAGAGCCUGUUUUAAAAAUUAAAAAAAAGAGGGCUUUGGCGCAACGCUGCGGCAGAAAUUUGACCAACAACUGCACCCUGUAUUUUUCUGGAGCAAGAAAACGUCGCCAAGUCACUCUAAGCGCCACAGUUACAUAUUGGAUCAGCUUAUUUGGCUAUACAAAGGUUCCGCCAUUAUCUUCUUUGUGUCAGGUUCACGUUGGUAACAGAUUGCGUAGCAUUCACGCAAGCCGUCGGGAAAAGGCAUACCACGAGAAGUAGCCCAAUGAAUUUUGCACCUACAAGAUUUUAAUCUUGAAGUUGAACAUCGAGCUGUAGAUAAGUUAAAACAUGUAGGCUAGGUGUAUAAUAAACAAUAAGAAAUUGGGUAGGCAGGAAGGGUAUCUACGCUGUAUCGACAAAGGAGAUCGGCCCUAACAUAUGCUGCACGUUGGCCAUUUGGGCCCUAUGGACGCAGUACAAGUUUAUAUUUGCUAUGGUAGAUGGCUUUCCAAAGUUUGUGUGGCUGUUUACGACGAAAUCUACCAGAGUCCCAAAAUAAUUAUUAUCCUAAUAUUUGAGAUCAAAAACGUCGCUUUGUUUUAA